UGUACAAAUAACCUUCAUUUUUCUGUCCCUGAGGCAGUCAGCAUUCAAGGAGUCUAGAGUUUGCUCCUGAUGCAUCUGUCAGCAUUUACAAGCUCAUUUUACUUUCAACUUUCAGCUAAUGUGUCCUGGAUGAGGCCAGAGGGUAAAGUAAUUCAGUAAUUGCCAGCUCAUUCGCUCUACCUUCCUCUUUUUUUAUCUCUUACUCUGGAAGAAAAUAUAACCAACAGUUGACAGGGUAAUAGACCAAAGGAAAUAGCUGCCUUAUCCAAGGAGAAUCUGAGACAAUUACUAGGGAAUCAAGGAAAUGGAAAUGACAUUUUACAGUUGGGUUACAACUGAAUAAAGAGGAAAUGCUUGGG